UAUUGGACGGCAAUAAAAAGUUGAUGGC
rnacentral:piRNA from 1 species